rnacentral:rRNA from 1 species
UUCCGUAGGUGGACCUGCGAAAGGAUCAUUACCUAGAGUUUGUGGGCUUUGCCUGCUAUCUCUUACCCAUGUCUUUUGAGUACUUACGUUUCCUCGGUGGGCUCGCCCGCCGAUUGGACAAAUUUAAACCCUUUGCAGUUGCAAAUCUCUUGGUUCUGGCAUCGAUGAAGAACGCAGCGAAAUGCGAUAAGUAGUGUGAAUUGCAGAAUUCAGUGAAUCAUCGAAUCUUUGAACGCACAUUGCGCCCCUUGGUAUUCCAUGGGGCAUGCCUGUUCGAGCGUCAUUUGUACCUUCAAGCUUUGCUUGGUGUUGGGUGUUUGUCUCGCCUCUGUGUGUAGACUCGCCUCAAAACAAUUGGCAGCCGGCGUAUUGAUUUCGGAGCGCAGUACAUCUCGCGCCUUGCACUCAUAACGACGACGUCCAAAAGUACAUUUUUUA